CUCCUGUUCCUUAGCUAUGCUUGGAAUUUUUUUGUAGGACAUUAUUCUGUUCUCUUGGGAAGUUGGGAAGGGUUUUUAUGCUUGGCAUGGUGCUCAUAAACACUUCCUAGAAAUGCUGCUUUUCAACAGUUUUUAUCUGAAAGAAGAGAUGUUAAGAACCUAGUUUACAUAAUUCAAAUUUGGUGCUCUCAGGAUUGUUUCAGGUGUAAAAAUCCCCGAUUUCUCAGUGUGCCAUUGCUCUCUGGUGCUCUGAAUGCAUUUUGUAAUCAGUAAAUGUAUUAGUAACUGCAGAUGUUAAUCAAUCACUUUGAUAUCUAAAAGUAAGGCAAGUGGAAUGUGAAUAAUUUGUGUUGUGGUCAAGACUACUACAGUUUGGUGUCUCUGUUUGCAUUCAUCAGGGCUGUUGGACGUGAAUCAGAGGCUAGCAAUUACAAACCAGAACUAAUAACUAAAAAUCCCUGCUCUCUUUUUGAUGCAGUUGAGCUCAUUCCAGACCUCUUGGCCUUCUAGACCCAUGCCAUUGCAGUGAGGUGAGAACAGCUCGACAUGAGCCUUCUCAAAACCGUGCUGGAGCAGUAUCCCUCAACCUUGCUGUUCACAGGUGAUGAUCCGGAGCAAGCUGGGUGUUGCAGCACCAGAGCCCUGUGUCCUGAUCACUGUAAACCUGAGAUUCUGCCUUGGGAACCAGUUCUGUAAUGGCUAUGCUGCAUCAAAUGGUCACACUCAUCAGGAGAGUCACAGCCACUGCCGUCCCGGACCCACCUUUAUUUCCUCCAGUUCCCACUUCAUUUACCCCAAACAUUUCUUCAAGUUUGCCUGUUUCUGGAUUUAUGGAGAGCUAUGUCUGACAUGGAUCAAAAAACAUUUCUGCAAAUGCAGAACAGACGAUCUGCUUCUACUUCUGCAAAGUUCAUGUUGA
rnacentral:lncRNA from 1 species